UGACGCUGGCGGCAGGCCUUACACAUGCAAGUCGAGCGGGAAAUUUUCUUCGGAAAAGAGUAAAGCGGCGGACGGGUGAGUAACGCGUAGGAAUCUACCUAGUAGUGGGGGACAACAUGUGGAAACGCAUGCUAAUACCGCAUACGCCCUAUGGGGGAAAGCAGGGGAUCUUCGGACCUUGUGCUAUUAGAUGAGCCUGCGUCGGAUUAGUUUGUUGGUAGGGUAAUGGCCUACCAAGACUACGAUCCGUAGCUGGUCUGAGAGGAUGAUCAGCCACACUGGGACUGAGACACGGCCCAGACUCCUACGGGAGGCAGCAGUGGGGAAUAUUGGACAAUGGGCGCAAGCCUGAUCCAGCCAUGCCGCGUGUGUGAAGAAGGCUCUAGGGUUGUAAAGCACUUUCAGUAGGGAGGAAAAGUUAGUAGUUAAUAACUGCUAGCCCUGACGUUACCUACAGAAGAAGCACCGGCAAACUCCGUGCCAGCAGCCGCGGUAAUACGGAGGGUGCGAGCGUUAAUCGGAAUUACUGGGCGUAAAGCGCGCGUAGGCGGUUUGAUAAGCUGGAUGUGAAAGCCCCGGGCUCAACCUGGGAACUGCAUCCAGAACUGUCUGACUAGAAUACAAUAGAGGUGAGUGGAAUUUCCUGUGUAGCGGUGAAAUGCGUAGAUAUAGGAAGGAACAUCAGUGGCGAAGGCGACUCACUGGAUUGAUAUUGACGCUAAGGUGCGAAAGCGUGGGGAGCGAACAGGAUUAGAUACCCUGGUAGUCCACGCCGUAAACGAUGUCUACUAGCCGUUGGGAUCCUUGAGGCCUUAGUGGCGCAGCUAACGCAAUAAGUAGACCGCCUGGGGAGUACGGCCGCAAGGUUAAACUCAAAUGAAUUGACGGGGGCCCGCAC
rnacentral:rRNA from 1 species